UGGGGAAUAUUGCACAAUGGGCGAAAGCCCGAUGCAGCGACGCCGCGUGAGGGAUGACGGCCUUCGGGUUGUAAACCUCUUUCGCUCAUGGUCAAGCCGCAACAGUGGUUGUGGUGAGGGUAGUGGGUAAAGAAGCGCCGGCUAACUACGUGCCAGCAGCCGCGGUAAUACGUAGGGCGCGAGCGUUGUCCGGAAUUAUUGGGCGUAAAGGGCUUGUAGGCGGUUGGUCGCGUCUGCCGUGAAAUCCUCUGGCUUAACUGGGGGCGUGCGGUGGGUACGGGCUGACUUGAGUGCGGUAGGGGAGACUGGAACUCCUGGUGUAGCGGUGGAAUGCGCAGAUAUCAGGAAGAACACCGGUGGCGAAGGCGGGUCUCUGGGCCGUUACUGACGCUGAGGAGCGAAAGCGUGGGGAGCGAACAGGAUUAGAUACCCUGGUAGUCCACGCUGUAAACGUUGGGCACUAGGUGUGGGGGCCACCCGUGGUUUCUGCGCCGUAGCUAACGCUUUAAGUGCCCCGCCUGGGGAGUACGGCCGCAAGGCUA
rnacentral:rRNA from 1 species